AGCGAACGCUGGCGGCAGGCCUAACACAUGCAAGUCGAACGAACUCUUCGGAGUUAGUGGCGGACGGGUGAGUAACACGUGGGAACGUGCCUUUUGGUUCGGAAUAACUCAGGGAAACUUGUGCUAAUACCGAAUGUGCCCUUCGGGGGAAAGAUUUAUCGCCAUUAGAGCGGCCCGCGUCUGAUUAGCUAGUUGGUGAGGUAACGGCUCACCAAGGCGACGAUCAGUAGCUGGUCUGAGAGGAUGACCAGCCACACUGGGACUGAGACACGGCCCAGACUCCUACGGGAGGGAGCAGUGGGGAAGCUGGCGCAAUGGGCGAAAGCCUGACGCAGCCAGGCCGCGUGAAUGAUGAAGGUCUUAGGAUUGUAAAAUUCUUUCACCGGGGACGAUAAUGACGGUACCCGGAGAAGAAGCCCCGGCUAACUUCGU
rnacentral:rRNA from 1 species